rnacentral:rRNA from 1 species
AUUGAACGCUGGCGGCAUGCCUUACACAUGCAAGUCGAACGGCAGCAUGAUCUAGCUUGCUAGAUUGAUGGCGAGUGGCGAACGGGUGAGUAAUACAUCGGAACGUGCCCUGUAGUGGGGGAUAACUAGUCGAAAGAUUAGCUAAUACCGCAUACGACCUGAGGGUGAAAGUGGGGGACCGCAAGGCCUCAUGCUAUAGGAGCGGCCGAUGUCUGAUUAGCUAGUUGGUGAGGUAAAGGCUCACCAAGGCGACGAUCAGUAGCUGGUCUGAGAGGACGAUCAGCCACACUGGGACUGAGACACGGCCCAGACUCCUACGGGAGGCAGCAGUGGGGAAUUUUGGACAAUGGGCGAAAGCCUGAUCCAGCAAUGCCGCGUGUGUGAAGAAGGCCUUCGGGUUGUAAAGCACUUUUGUCCGUAAAGAAAUGGCUCUGGUUAAUACCUGGGGUCGAUGACGGUACCGGAAGAAUAAGGACCGGCUAACUACGUG